rnacentral:rRNA from 1 species
GCGGGGUAGCUUGCUACCCAGCGGCGAACGGGUGAGUAACACGUAGGUAACCUGCCUUCGAGUCCGGAAUACCCAGGCGAAAGCUUGGCUAAUGCCGGAUAACAGCGGACCCCGCCUGGGGCCCGCGUGAAAGCCGCCCCAAAGCGGCGCUCCUAGAUGGACCUGCGACGCAUUAGCUAGUUGGCGGGGCAACGGCCCACCAAGGCGAGGAUGCGUAGCCGACCUGAGAGGGUGAACGGCCACAAUGGGACUGAGACACGGCCCAUACUCCUACGGGAGGCAGCAGUAGGGAGUUUUCGGCAAUGGGGGGAACCCUGACCGAGCAACGCCGCGUGAGUGAUGAAGGUCUUCGGAUCGUAAAGCUCUGUUGCG